rnacentral:rRNA from 1 species
CCUACGGGGGGCUGCAGUGGGGAAUAUUGCACAAUGGGGGAAACCCUGAUGCAGCAACGCCGCGUGAGCGAUGAAGGACUUCGGGUCGUAAAGCUCUGUCCUAAGGGAAGAAUACUGACGGUACCUUAGGAGGAAGCCCCGACUAACUAAGUGCCAGCAGCUGGGGUAAUACGUAGGGGGUUAGCGUUAACCGGAAGUACUGGGCGUAAAGGGUGCGUAGGCGGCCCUUCAAGUCAGAGGUGAAAGGCUACGGCUCAACCGUUGUAAGCCUUUGAAACUGUAGGGCUUGAGUGCAGGGUAGGGGAGUGGAAUUCCCAGUGUAGCGUUGAAAUGCGUAGAUAUUGGGAGGAACACCAGUUGCGAAGGCGGCUCUCUGGACUGUAGCUGACGCUGAGGCACGAAAGCGUGGGGAGCGAACAGGAUUAGAUACCCUUGUAGUC